rnacentral:rRNA from 1 species
UGGGGUCGAGUUGCAGACCCCAAUCCGAACUGAGACCGGCUUUUUGGGAUUCGCUCCACCUUACGGUAUCGCAGCCCUCUGUACCGGCCAUUGUAGCAUGCGUGAAGCCCAAGACAUAAGGGGCAUGAUGAUUUGACGUCAUCCCCACCUUCCUCCGAGUUGACCCCGGCAGUCUCCCAUGAGUCCCCGGCAUAACCCGCUGGCAACAUAGGACGAGGGUUGCGCUCGUUGCGGGACUUAACCCAACAUCUCACGACACGAGCUGACGACAACCAUGCACCACCUGUGUACGAGUGUCCAAAGAGAACCCCGUCUCGGGGGCUUUCUCGUACAUGUCAAGCCUUGGUAAGGUUCUUCGCGUUGCAUCGAAUUAAUCCGCAUGCUCCGCCGCUUGUGCGGGCCCCCGUCAAUUCCUUUGAGUUUUAGCCUUGCGGCCGUACUCCCCAGGCGGGGCACUUAAUGCGUUAGCUGCGGCACGGAACUCGUGGAAUGAGCCCCACACCUAGUGCCCAACGUUUACGGCAUGGACUACCAGGGUAUCUAAUCCUGUUCGCUCCCCAUGCUUUCGCUCCUCAGCGUCAGUUGCGGCCCAGAGACCUGCCUUCGCCAUCGGUGUUCCUCCUGAUAUCUGCGCAUUCCACCGCUACACCAGGAAUUCCAGUCUCCCCUACCGCACUCUAGUCUGCCCGUACCCGAUGCAAGCCCGAGGUUGAGCCUCGGGAUUUCACACCAGACGCGACAGACCGCCUACGAGCUCUUUACGCCCAAUAAUUCCGGACAACGCUUGCGCCCUGCGUAUUACCGCGGCUGCUGGCACGUAGUUAGCCGGCGCUUCUUCUGCAGGUACCGUCACUUGCGCUUCUUCCCUGCUGAAAGAGGUUUACAACCCGAAGGCCGUCAUCCCUCACGCGGCGUCGCUGCAUCAGGCUUGCGCCCAUUGUGCAAUAUUCCCCACUGCUGCCUCCCGUAGGAGUCUGGGCCGUGUCUCAGUCCCAGUGUGGCCGGUCGCCCUCUCAGGCCGGCUACCCGUCGACGCCUUGGUAGGCCAUCACCCCACCAACAAGCUGAUAGGCCGCGAGCCCAUCCCCCACCGAAAAACUUUCCAACCCACACCAUGCGAUGCGAGCUCAUAUCCGGUAUUAGACCCCGUUUCCAAGGCUUAUCCCGAAGUGGAGGGCAGGUUGCUCACGUGUUACUCACCCGUUCGCCACUGAUCCACCCAGCAAGCUGGGCUUCAC